ACCACAACGGGUGGAGCCUGCGGUUUAAUUGGAUUCAACGCCGGAAAUCUUACCGGGCCCGACAGCGAUAUGAAGGCCAGGCUGAAGACUUUGCCGGAUUAGCUGAGAGGUGGUGCAUGGCCGUCGUCAGUUCGUACUGUGAAGCAUCCUGUUAAGUCAGGCAACGAGCGAGACCCACGCCCACAGUUGCCAGCGUACUCUCCGGAGUGACGGGUACACUGUGGGGACCGCUGCUGCUAAAGCGGAGGAAGGAAUGGGCAACGGUAGGUCAGUAUGCCCCGAAUAUCCCGGGCUACACGCGAGCUACAAUGGUUGGUACAAUGGGUAUCUACCCCGAAAGGGGAUGGUACAUCUCCUAAUAGCCAAUCUUAGUCCGGAUUGAGGGCUGCAACUCGCCCUCAUGAAGCUGGAAUCCGUAGU
rnacentral:rRNA from 1 species